rnacentral:lncRNA from 1 species
UGGCCUUAGGGUUGCCCUUUGUCUUGUCAAGAAUGUCCAUGAGUGUGUGUCCAAAGUGCUUCAGUGAUAUUCUUCUCAGUGUAUAUUACAUCUAUGUUACGUGGAAGGCGAAGGUCAUCAAAAUAGGGAAGCCUCUCCAAUCCUAAUUUAAAAAAAUGUGAACAAGGAGUUUUAAAUUUCUCCAAAUUUGAACAAAGAGUUUUAAAUAAUGUGAGAAGGUCUCAGAAAAAUAGGGCAAAAAACCAAAAAAUAAAAAAAUUUCCCCGAGUGCCUUCCCUGGCGCUCUUGGGGAAGAGACCCUUCCCCGAGUGCGAGGACAGAGCACUCAGUGCGAGGACAGAGCACUCAGAAAAGCCGGCCUUUUCCCC